GUUCUUUCUUUAGUACCAAUGAAUAACUUGGUUACACAAUAUACUUGAAGAUUGCAUUAGGAACAAAAUGCUUAGCAGACCAAACUAAUUAGUUUUCUGGAGACAGACUACUCUUGCAUCAUUAUGUGCAACCCACAGGUAUCUCACUCGGCGAGACAUGCACACCUAUGCCACAUCUUUACAUGUUUCACAAAAACAUAAACAUGAUUGGAUGGGCGUCCUUGCCGGCGACCUCGCUAUCUCCAACCCAUCCACAGGGAGAAUACUAUGAAUGAGAAUGGACUAAGAAAUUGUGAUACACCUUCCUUUAGGUGCAUUUUCAUUCAGAUGGUGAUCCAGGUUUGUUGGAGCAGUACAUGCUAACCACCAAUUUGUUUUCUGAUCUUUUUAGUACAAGGCUUUACCAAACUAUCAAUUGAAGUGCAGGUCAACCAAGACUUCAUAUACAUAGGCUGAAAGAUGAAAACUAAAGACCAUGGAGAAGAUCACACCAUCUUUAUCCCAGGAAAAACAACUGCAUGGUCA